CCCUUAGAUGUUCUGGGCCGCACGCGUGCUACACUGAGUGGAUCAGCGGGUCAGGUUGCGCGAAAGUGUUUCCUAAUCUUUAAAUCCGCUCGUGAUGGGGAUUGACGGUUGCAAUUUUCCGUCAUGAACGAGGAAUACCUUGUAAGCGCGGGUCAUCAUCCCGCGCUGAAUACGUCCCUGCCCUUUGUACACACCGCCCGUCGCUCCUACCGAUCGAGUGGUCCGGUGAGGCUUUGGGAUCUGAGCGGAAAGAGCGUUUCGCUGUUUCUGCCCGGAAAACUCAGUCGAACCUUAUCAUUUAGAGGAAGGAGAAGUCGUAACA
rnacentral:rRNA from 1 species